UAACCCUUGUUAAUGAGUGAGUUUGGUUGUUCUAUUAGUUCACAGGAGAAGUGAUUGUUAAAAAAAACCUAGAAUCUUAUUCCCCCUCUUUUGUUCCCUGUCUCACCAUGAGAGAUGCCUUCUUCCACUUUGCCUUCUGCCCUGAGUGAAGCUUCCUGGUCCCUAUCAGAAGAGAAGCAGAUACUGGUGCCAUGCUUGUUCAGCAUUCAGGACUUUGAGCUUAAUAAAGCUCUCUUCUUUAUGCAUUGCCCAAUCUCAGGUCAGCGGACUCCCCCCUGUGGGUUCCUGAAUGCCUGGUGAAACAUGGAUUUUCUUCCGAUGGGAGGCACCAGUACUCUGAUUCCUCGGUUGCGGCGCCCACAUCUGACUUCUCCACCACUUCGCCGCUGCAGGAAGAAAAGGAGGACAGCAACCCUCCUUCGCUGCAGUUCCUGCCAACUUGGACUCAGAUGAAACGUCUUAGCGUUGAAGCAGCCGAGCUUGUGGACUCUCAGGGUACUCCAGAAAUGUUUGCCGAUGGGGAGGACUCAAGAUGGCGCUGUGAGAACAACCCAAGAUUGAAGCUCUCGCUGGACGCACGGAGAGGGGACAUGGAUGAAUCAGGAGAACAUCAUCCUCAGCAAACUGACACAAGAACAGAAAAUGAAACACCGCAUAUUUUCACUCAUAGGUGG
rnacentral:lncRNA from 13 species